UACGUAGGGUGCGAGCGUUAUCCGGAUUUAUUGGGCGUAAAGGGUGCGCAGGCGGCCGUGGGCAGUAGCGCGUGGAAUCUCCCCGCUCACCGGGGAGGGGUCGCGCUAUACGACAUGGCUUGGGGCAGGCAGAGGAUCGCGGAACGGGCGGAGUAGGGGUGAAAUCCGUAGAGACCGUCCGGAACACCGGUGGCGAAGGCGACAUCCUGGACCGGUAUUGACGCUGAGGCGCGAAAGCCAGGGGAGCAAACGGG
rnacentral:rRNA from 1 species